ACAGAGACCAUAAGCCCGUGGCCUUCUACAUGGUAUGGAGCCAGCCUACGUAUGCACACCUUCCCUUCUUGGGACACAAAACUCUACUUGUGAAGACCUGUUGAGGCAAGUGAGGAUCAGAAUCGAAAUCGAUCAAUGGAAAUUGCAGAUGUGUUACCAGUGCCGGUG